rnacentral:rRNA from 1 species
CGGCGUCGAGCGGCGGACGGGUGAGUAAUGCCUAGGAAAUUGCCCUGAUGUGGGGGAUAACCAUUGGAAACGAUGGCUAAUACCGCAUAAUACCUUCGGGUCAAAGAGGGGGACCUUCGGGCCUCUCGCGUCAGGAUAUGCCUAGGUGGGAUUAGCUAGUUGGUGAGGUAAUGGCUCACCAAGGCGACGAUCCCUAGCUGGUCUGAGAGGAUGAUCAGCCACACUGGAACUGAGACACGGUCCAGACUCCUACGGGAGGCAGCAGUGGGGAAUAUUGCACAAUGGGCGCAAGCCUGAUGCAGCCAUGCCGCGUGUGUGAAGAAGGCCUUCGGGUUGUAAAGCACUUUCAGUCGUGAGGAAGGUAGUGUAGUUAAUAGCUGCAUUAUUUGACGUUAGCGACAGAAGAAGCACCGGCUAACUCCGUGCCAGCAGCCGCGGUAAUACGGAGGGUGCGAGCGUUAAUCGGAAUUACUGGGCGUAAAGCGCAUGCAGGUGGUUUGUUAAGUCAGAUGUGAAAGCCCGGGGCUCAACCUCGGAAUAGCAUUUGAAACUGGCAGACUAGAGUACUGUAGAGGGGGGUAGAAUUUCAGGUGUAGCGGUGAAAUGCGUAGAGAUCUGAAGGAAUACCGGUGGCGAAGGCGGCCCCCUGGACAGAUACUGACACUCAGAUGCGAAAGCGUGGGGAGCAAACAGGAUUAGAUACCCUGGUAGUCCACGCCGUAAACGAUGUCUACUUGGAGGUUGUGGCCUUGAGCCGUGGCUUUCGGAGCUAACGCGUUAAGUAGACCGCCUGGGGAGUACGGUCGCAAGAUUAAAACUCAAAUGAAUUGACGGGGGCCCGCACAAGCGGUGGAGCAUGUGGUUUAAUUCGAUGCAACGCGAAGAACCUUACCUACUCUUGACAUCCAGAGAACUUUCCAGAGAUGGAUUGGUGCCUUCGGGAACUCUGAGACAGGUGCUGCAUGGCUGUCGUCAGCUCGUGUUGUGAAAUGUUGGGUUAAGUCCC